rnacentral:tRNA from 1 species
GGUCUCAUAGUUCAACGGAUAGAAUAGAAGUUUCCUAAACUUUUGAUCCCAGUUCGAUUCUGGGUGGGACCA